CCUAACCCCUAGUUAACCCUAGUCCAGGUUAGUCCUACUCUAACCCCUAGUUAACCCUAGCCCAGGUUAGUCCUAACCCCUAGUUAACUCUAGCCCAGGUUAGUCCUAACCCCUAGUUAACCCUAGUCCAGGUUAGUCCUACUCUAACCCCUAGUUAACCCUAGCCCAGGUUAGUCCUAACCCCUAGUUAACUCUAGCCCAGGUUAGUCCUAACCCCUAGUUAACCCUAGUCCAGGUUAGUCCCAACCCCUAGUUAACCCUAGUCCAGGUUAGUCCCAACCCCUAGUUAACCCUAGUCCAGGUUAGUCCCAACCCCUAGUUAACCCUAGUCCAGGUUAGUCCCAACCCCUAGUUAACCCUAGUCCAGGUUAGUCCCAACCCCUAGUUAACCCUAGUCCAGGUUAGUCCCAACCCCUAGUUAACCCUAGUCCAGGUUAGUCCCAACCCCUAGUUAACCCUAGUCCAGGUUAGUCCCAACCCCUAGUCCAGGUUAGUCCCAACCCCUAGUCCAGGUUAGUCCCAACCCCUAGUCCAGGUUAGUCCCAACCCCUAGUUGACCCUAGUCCAGGUUAGUCCCAACCCCUAGUUAACCCUAGUCCAGGUUAGUCCCAACCCCUAGUUAACCCUAGUCCAGGUUAGUCCCAACCCCUAGUCCAGGUUAGUCCCAACCCCUAGUUGACCCUAGUCCAGGUUAGUCCCAACCCCUAGUUGACCCUAGUCCAGGUUAGUCCCAACCCCUAGUUGACCCUAGUCCAGGUUAGUCCCAACCCCUAGUUGACCCUAGUCCAGGUUAGUCCCAACCCCUAGUUGACCCUAGUCCAGGUUAGUCGGUGUGCUCCAACUUCAUAGGAUAAUAAAUCCUCUAGCUGCUGGGACAUUAGUGUCAGGUGUGUUUCUAUUCUAACUCCCACAGAAGAGAGGAGGUCCUCCUAUGGGACUUGUCCGACUGGGCAGAACUGAUUAUCUGUUUCCAGUGUGCCCGUGGAGAGGGGAUUCUUUCUCCAAAACCGGUCCGCCCAAAUGCAAAUGAUUGUGUAGCAAUAGACUUCAUUUAUUUUAUCGCCCAAUCCCCACCUUUAUCAUAGAAUCGGGUGGCCCAACCCCCACCUUUAUCAUAGAAUCGGGCGGCCCAAC